rnacentral:rRNA from 1 species
AACGAACGCUGGCGGCGUGGAUAAGACAUGCAAGUCGAACGGGAUCAAGUUUGUAGCAAUACACGCUUGGUCUAGUGGCGCACGGGUGCGUAACACGUGAGCAAUCUGCCGGGAAGUAGGGGAUAGCUCGCCGAAAGGCGAAUUAAUACCGCACGUGACCAAGGAGGACAUCCUCUUGAAGUCAAAGCAGCAAUGCGCUUCCUGAUGAGCUCGCGGCCUAUCAGCUAGUUGGCGGGGUAACGGCCCACCAAGGCUAUGACGGGUAGCUGGUCUGAGAGGACGACCAGCCACACUGGAACUGAGACACGGUCCAGACACCUACGGGUGGCAGCAGUCGAGAAUUUUUCACAAUGGGGGAAACCCUGAUGGAGCGACGCCGCGUGGAGGAUGAAGGUCUUCGGAUUGUAAACUCCUGUCAUGCGGGAACAAGAAAGUGAUAGUACCGCAAGAGGAAGAGACGGCUAACUCUGUGCCAGCCGCCGCUGUAA